GGUCAUCUCGAGCCAGAAAUUACAAGAUUUCCAGAUCCUGAUUCGUACCAUUCAAAUGCAUUUGCUGUCAGCUAAACGGUUUUCAUCAACUGAAAACGUAGCUGCUUUGAUAAAAAGGGCAGGGACGAAAAAACGAUUCUUAAGAUAUCCUCGUAAGAAACAACGACGGUCCCGCAAAAUGUGGGUGAACAAAAGAAAUUGGAAACUUUUCGGUUGCGCUGUGUUUAAUCAAAUAGAGAAAUUGAGAUGCAAGAUUUCUUCUUUGUGUUUGUAAUUAAAAAGUCGUUAACUGCUGCUGCCUUAGAAAAUGUUUUUUUUCGGCUGUAUUUUUUUAUUUAAAGAAAGACCGUUUUGUAUUUUAUAUAGAAGUAAAUUAAUAUAUGACCUAGUAAUUGAGAAGACAUUGUACUGUACCGUUAACUGCUGCU